rnacentral:rRNA from 1 species
UGGGGAAUUUUGGACAAUGGGCGAAAGCCUGAUCCAGCAAUGCCGCGUGUGUGAAGAAGGCCUUCGGGUUGUAAAGCACUUUUGUCCGGAAAGAAAUCCUUGGCUCUAAUACAGUCGGGGGAUGACGGUACCGGAAGAAUAAGCACCGGCUAACUACGUGCCAGCAGCCGCGGUAAUACGUAGGGUGCAAGCGUUAAUCAGAAUUACUGGGCGUAAAGCGUGCGCAGGCGGUUUGCUAAGACCGAUGUGAAAUCCCCGGGCUCAACCUGGGAACUGCAUUGGUGACUGGCAGGCUAGAGUAUGGCAGAGGGGGGUAGAAUUCCACGUGUAGCAGUGAAAUGCGUAGAGAUGUGGAGGAAUACCGAUGGCGAAGGCAGCCCCCUGGGCCAAUACUGACGCUCAUGCACGAAAGCGUGGGGAGCAAACAGGAUUAGAUACCCUGGUAGUCCACGCCCUAAACGAUGUCAACUAGUUGUUGGGGAUUCAUUUCCUUAGUAACGUAGCUAACGCGUGAAGUUGACCGCCUGGGGAGUACGGUCGCAAGAUUAAAACUCAAAGGAAUUGACGGGGUCAUAGCUGUUUCCU